rnacentral:lncRNA from 1 species
GAUUGAAUAUGUUGAAUGCUAAACAGAAGAAAGUCAGAUUUUAAGUGGCCAAAGUUUCCAUGUGAACCACCAGAAGAGCCUCUUCUUAUGAUCCAAUUGUGGAUUCAGUUUUUCCUACGGUGGUGAGCAAGCUGAUGAGUGGGCCUUCCUGAGGACGGACAGAGGCCCAGCCACAUGCUACGGGGAGCAUCCCUAUGCCUGGCUCAUAAUUUCACUGCGCAUCUACAGACAAACGCCCAACUUGCCUGGAACAUCAAGAAGAGUGAAAGCGAACCCAUCAUGGUGAACAGAGAUCAGGAGGAAAAGCCUGGGAUCAUCAAUCAAUCUCCAGUUCAUCCCAAACCUACUCAAGACGCAGCAAUCAUGUGAAGGAAAGGAUUCCUGACUCUAACAAUGUGCCUUCAGAAGCCUGAUCACACAAUCAAGUGGCUCUAAUUCCCCAGGGCAAACAUACCUGUUCUGUUUAUCUAAAUGAGCAGAAGUGUUGAAAAAGAUACAAACAAGAGAAAAAACACUGUGCUCAGAAUAUUUUGUAUUUGUCAAUG